UACGUAGGUGGCGAGCGUUGUCCGGAUUUACUGGGCGUAAAGGGAGCGUAGGCGGAUUUUUAAGUGAGAUGUGAAAUACCCGGGCUCAACUUGAGUGCUGCAUUUCAAACUGGAAGUCUAGAGUGCAGGAGAGGAGAAUGGAAUUCCUAGUGUAGCGGUGAAAUGCGUAGAGAUUAGGAAGAACACCAGUGGCGAAGGCGAUUCUCUGGACUGUAACUGACGCUGAGGCUCGAAAGCGUGGGGAGCAAACAGG
rnacentral:rRNA from 1 species